rnacentral:rRNA from 1 species
AGUCGUAACAAGGUUUCUGUAGGUGAACCUGCAGAAGGAUCAUUAGUGAAGAUUUGGGCAGGCCAUACGGACGCCAAAAAGUGUCCCUGGCCGCCUACACCCACUAUACAUCCACAAACCCGUGUGCACUGUCUUGGAGAAAGGCUUCAGAGAAGUUUUUUGUGGCCUCUCUUGGGGUCUUUCUUCGCUACAAACUCGAAUGGUUAGUAUGAACGUGGAACUUGGUUGGACCGUCACUGGCCAACAAACUAUACACAACUUUCGACAACGGAUCUCUUGGUUCUCCCAUCGAUGAAGAACGCAGCGAAACGCGAUAGGUAAUGUGAAUUGCAGAAUUCCGUGAAUCAUCGAAUCUUUGAACGCACCUUGCGCUCUAUGGCAAUCCGUAGAGCAUGCCUGUUUGAGUGCCAUGAAAUCUCCCACCCCAAGCGGUUUUUAAAUGAAACGGCUUGGCGGAUGGGGUCUGGAUGGGUGCCUCUGCCUGCGCUACCUAGCACAGGCUCGCCCGAAAUGCAUGAGCGCCUUGAGACACUUUGCAUCCGCCUCUCUGUUUGGGAGGAGGCGGCCAAGCAGUGUUUUUCUCCUGGCAUGGCAUGAUACGUCAUUUGCUAUGUCGCCUAAAGGAGGAAUGUUUGGUUGUGUCUGCGUGUGCUUCGAACUUGCCUCUGUGGCACAUCCCAAUUUCACUUCUGGUCUCAAAUCAGGUAGGAUCACCCGCUGAACUUAAGCAUAUCAAUAAGUCG